rnacentral:siRNA from 1 species
AACAAUGGCGUUGCAAGCGAGUC